rnacentral:lncRNA from 1 species
UGUGGUGGAGUAAAUGAUAGUGAUGGUAAAAAAUGUAUAAGUGAUAAUAAAACUUACUUCUCAUUGCUCCUCAUAUUGCUAACUCCCCUCUUCUUCGAUCUUUGCUGUGGGAAAACAUGGGCUAUCUCCUCUUUUUUUUCAAGUGGUAGUAGACACCCCUAAUUCUACUGUCGGACACUUGUCCAUUUUUUCCGCUCAAGUGGGCAUCUUUGCACCCCUAAUUCUACUCCGGACACUUGUCCAUUUUUACCUCUCGUCUCACUCUUUUUCUUUCUUUCUUUUUCGAGGUUCCGGGCACUUGCCCCUUUUUAUUUCCUCGCAUAUUUUUUUGCAUAACCCGUGCCCCUUCUGCAUUGAUUCUUUUUAGAGAGUGAGAAUAACAACACUUGGGACAGUGAGUGAUAAUAUUAGUUUUAGCAAUUUUAAUGCAUGGUGGUGAAUGGUGUAGUGGAUGUGUGCAAGUGAAUAUCUUAAUUCAACCACAUGAAAAGCUCCUAAGGGUCUUCAUAGCUCGAUCAAACUCAAUGUGAAUAUAAGUAGCAAAAGAUGUUAUAGCAAGUAUGGCUGUGGUAGGAAUUUUGUCGUGCUAGGAACUCAUCAUGUGAUUCGCAAGUUUCCAAAAUAAAUCUCCAGAACUUAGUGUAGUAGGAAUAAGAUAAACAAUAGCUCAAACUUUAUAUCAUGCCUUUCUCUUACCUAGACUUUAGUUUUAUGCUUCCCAUAGAUAGUAAUUUAAGUUUUAGUAAUUCCUGGAAGAACUCUAAUAUAAAAGCUAGGUACUUGAAAGUACUCAAACAGAGCAACUGUUCUUCAUUUCCACCAUGUAUCUUUUUGGUCUUUUAUUUUUUUCAUUUUUAUUUUGUUUUCAUGCUUAUAAAAUGUUGUAAUUUAAAGCAAGGAAAUAUUUAUUGAGUUUUCUAAGUUUUUUCUCUUUAAGAUAAAAUACUAAAAUAGAAA